AAAAAGACAAAUGAACCCAGACAAGCCCAGCGUACAGUGCCACAGCUUCCACCAGCCCCUAGUGUAACUUCAAGAGCCAGUGUCUUUGAAAAGACCCUACAACAAGUUGCAGAUGCAGAGGACUUGAGGCCAUGUGCCACCUCAAGCCAGAGCGACAGUAAGUGUCUGGUUGUAGUUUUAGGGUAAACAAUUAGUUUUAGGGUAAACAUUUAAUUGUAUG